CCCGAAGCCACUAUGCUGGAAGGAUCACAUGGAGAGACCACAUAGAGAUACAAAGAUGCCUGAGGAAACCCAGCUGUUCAGCACAGAUGUUUUUUAGUUUUCCCGUUGCCCAGGCAUGCGAGUGAGUGAGCUUUCCAAAGACUUUAACCCCAGCCUUUGAGCUGCCAGAGCUGACAUGAAGUAGAACAGAGAUGAGCUGAGCUUUGCCCCACCUGCAGAUGUAUAUAAAGAAAUUGACACAACUAAUUAGAAGCCGGGUCCAAGAUUUUCAUUUAUAAAGUCUACUUCCAGCACUCACUCUUUGACCCCCUAUACUUCAUACUCCAGAGUGACUCCAAACAAAGACUAUGGAACUUCCCACAUACACCCCUUUUGGCUGAGCUGUAUGGCCAUAAGCGUAGAGACUUGCAGCUGUAUGUGGCCGUGAAUGAGAGACCCAGAGAUGGAAGCUUCACAGCAUUUGUGGCAGUAGCGGCAGAAAUGCAUCACACAUUUGAGUCCCUAGAUGGCCUUGUGGAGAAACGUCUACCUGCCACCCUGGACUAUUAGACAUGAAAAAGAUGCAGGCAAGAUAUGGAGUGUCUUCAUGGGGGAGAUUCAGAAGCCAUGGAUGGUGUAGAAAGAAAUAUUCUUCAAACAAAACCUUAUGAGGAACAGAACCAUAGCUCCUGAAACUGUGUGAAAGCAAGAGAAAGAGAGUCUUUUGUCAAUAGUCUGUCCACACAUAUCCAGACCCAACCCAAAGUUACAACCUGACCUCCACGAUCACUUUCCCUCACAGGGACCGCACUAUGAGGAACACGCCAAAGUUGAGAAAGGGUAAGAUUCUUGCCCAACCUCAAGACCAGUGCUAUUCUCUUCACGCCAAGGCAGGAAGAUCACUGAAGCCCAGAAGUUCGAGGCUAAAAUGAGCUAUGAUUGUGCCAACGCACUUCAUCCUAGGCAACAUAGCAAAACCCUAUCUCUAAAAUAUAAACAAGUAAAAUAAAUUUAAAAAUAAUUGUGGCGUGUGGCAAUUAUUGAUAAUGCCUCAUAGCCCCAAAUUCAUCCCUGGUUGCCUUCCCUGUGAAAAUAAAUCUAGGCCCUUCACCUUUAUUUUUUUCUUUUUUGGCUAUCAUGAUGCUAAACUUAUCAGUAGAGGGCAAUACAAAGACAUUUCAAGAAGGCAGAGGCUUCCCUCCUGGUAGUGCACUUUUUCCCCACUGUCUAUUCCACGUGGUUUUCACCAUUGUCAAGGGCUUAGAGGGUACAGCUUUCACAGUGUGUUUUCUACAGUUCUUGACUCAGGAAACAAUGGCAUAGUGGAAGCCCCAGAAAAAUCUGACCUGUGCGCUAGCCCUGUUAACUGCUGCCCACAACCCUGAGUGAUAUGAAUGUAAGGGGUACUGUGGAGCUGAUAAUCAGCAAGCUUGUGGCAUGACCUCCAUCCUGUGUAGCCCAGAGCCACCCUACCCAAGCCACAAAUAGAAAAGCUCUGGGUUUUGAUGCUGACUCUCUAUGGUCCCACUUCUUAGCCUAAGAUCACCUGUGCCCUAGAGAGUUGUACCUACUUCGCCUGGUGACUGUGGACCAGCUCUGCAGGAAGCAAUUUACCAAAUGUCUCUGCGAUCCAGUGGUCAGCAAUUACACCUUCUUCAGUGUGGUCAUAGCCUCUUUCCAAAUUUGUCCUUCCUUAACUACUCUCCCUGUUUUCAUGUUUAUAGUUGUUCUCUUAUCAUUGUUUAAUAAUUUUUAUGUUAAAUUUCCCAUGUUUAAAUUACUAAGUCGAUAUUGUCUCUUGAUUGUACCCAGGCCAAUAAAUGGUACUAUAAAUAUUGUGUUUAUAUUUCAAUAUACAUUGUUUUAAGGUGACUCCCAUGGAGUUUAUAAGCAAGAUAAUGCUUGAGCAAAAUCUAGUACAUUGCAAUAACCUAGGUGACCACAUCAUUUCUCGUGCAAUAAUCAUUUUUAUGUCUCAUAAGAUAUAUGAAUAUAUUAUAAAUUAGAAACAGGAAUAAUUAAACAGAAAACAAUAGCAUAUGACAUGGCAAAGGCAAUAAAAUAAAUAUAUAGGCAAUAUAGGAGCAACUAUGAAAGACUAGGACUUGCAAUAUCAUAUAAAGGAAUUUAAGAACCGAAAUUGAGUAGUCAUUCUUGUUAACAGUGUAUUCAUUUUGUUUUCAUAAUCUUAUUAUCAUGCUGUAACUGUGCUAUAAAAGAGAUAUUGACAAAGACAUGCUUCAGUUAAGGCAGUUUACAUAUGAGCAAAAAAUUUUGGAAACAUUGGAAUUGUUAGUAUAA
rnacentral:lncRNA from 10 species